rnacentral:rRNA from 1 species
CCUACGAGAGGCUGCAGUGGGGAAUAUUGGGCAAUGGGCGCAAGCCUGACCCAGCAAUGCCGCGUGAAGGAAGAAGGCUUUCGGGUUGUAAACUUCUUUGACAGGGGAAGAGCAUAAGACGGUACCCUGAAAACAAGCCACGGCUAACUACGUGCCAGCAGCCGCGGUAAUACGUAGGUGGCAAGCGUUGUCCGGAUUUACUGGGUGUAAAGGUCGUGUAGCGGGGAAGGCAAGUCAGAUGUGAAAUCUGGGGGCUCAACCGCCAAAUUGCAUUUGAAACUGUUUUUCUUGUGUACUGGAGAGGCAGACGGAAUUGCUGGUGUGGCGGUGAAAUGCGUAGAUAUAAGGAGGAA